CGGGGUGGGUGAACUUGAGGGAGACGGUGGUGUUGACGCCGGCGGGGACGGCGGCGCCGCUGACGGCGAACGCCCCUCCCACGGCGGCGCCCGAGGUGGCGAGCAGGGCGGGGCAGUUGACGAAGAGGUGGUACCCGCCGGAGACCCAGCUCCCGACCUUCCACUUGACGCGGCCUUCCAGCUUGACGUGGAGGAGCACGUACCCGGCCGAGAUGUCCUGCCUCAUGGCGUCCGCCACGUACUGCGACACGGGGACGGCGUCCCCGGACAUGACGGGGGACCACACCGACGCGUCCUUGUGGCCCUGGUAGAUCGACGGCAGCGACACGGGCACCGUCACCGGCUCGUCCCGGUACGUCGUGAACGCGUCCAGGGUCUUGUAGUACACGCCCACGCGCUCGUUCGGGUUCCGCGACGCGAUCGUCACCUGCGGCCAUUGCCAACAACAGCAAGGUUUUUCGUCGGCAUCGUCCAUGUAGCUAGCUGCAGAGCUCAACGUUCCCCGAAUGUGCGAGUAUGCAUACACGUUACCUGGAGGUUGAGGGAGAUGGCCGGGUCGCUGAGGUCGAUGGAGCGGAGCUGCACGUCCUGGAGGUAGAAGGAGGGCUUGGAAGGGUGGAGCGCGAGGUAGAUGACGAGGACGAUGAAGCCGACGACGGCGGCGAGCGUGAGGAAGCAGGCGCAGAUGGAGCCGCAGCAGCGACGGAGGAUCCAGUCGCGGUG
rnacentral:lncRNA from 1 species